CAAUAGCGUAUAUUAAAGUUGUUGCAGUUAAAAGCUCGUAGUUGGAUUUGUGGCAGUCGCGUGCGGCCCGACACUUGUUGUUGGUGCUUGCUUGCGUCGCCAUCCUUGGGUGGAACCUGUGUGGCAUUAGGUUGUCGUGCAGGGGAUGCCCAUCGUUUACUGUGAAAAAUUAGAGUGUUCAAAGCAGGCUUAUGCCGUUGAAUAUGUUAGCAUGGAAUAAUAAGAUAGGACCUUGGUACUAUUUUGUUGGUUUGCGCACCAAGGUAAUGAUUAAUAGGGACAGUUGGGGGUAUUCGUAUUUCGUUGUCAGAGGUGAAAUUCUUGGAUUUCCGAAAGACGAACUACUGCGAAAGCAUUUACCAAGGAUGUUUUCAUUAAUCAAGAACGAAAGUUAGGGGAUCGAAGACGAUCAGAUACCAU
rnacentral:rRNA from 1 species